GAACGAUGACGGGACCGCUGAUAUCAGUCGACAUAUUCAGGUGUCUGAAACAGGAAACUUUACCUGUAACGCCACAUAUCUUUCGGCUAACGGAAGAGAGAACACAGCGGUAUCAAUUCAAGUAUUGAUAACACCACCCGCAGGAAAGGGAAUGACUAGUGGUCAAAUUGCCGGGAUAAUUCUACUGCUUGUAUGCAUCUUGCUGGCGAUCAUCACUCUAACGAUCUACUAUUUGAAAAAACGAGAUGUGAGGACACAAUUGAUGCGAUUACCUAAUACAACGAAUAGCCCUUCUACUGCUACUGCUACUCAUGCUCCUGCUGCUACUACUACUACUACUACUAU